rnacentral:miRNA from 1 species
UAGUUUUACCAUUGCAUUGGAG